GACGAACGCUGGCGGCGUGCUUAACACAUGCAAGUCGAACGGAAAGGCCCUGCUUUUGUGGGGUGCUCGAGUGGCGAACGGGUGAGUAACACGUGAGUAACCUGCCCUUGACUUUGGGAUAACUUCAGGAAACUGGGGCUAAUACCGGAUAGGAGCUCCUGCUGCAUGGUGGGGGUUGGAAAGUUUCGGCGGUUGGGGAUGGACUCGCGGCUUAUCAGCUUGUUGGUGGGGUAGUGGCUUACCAAGGCUUUGACGGGUAGCCGGCCUGAGAGGGUGACCGGCCACAUCGGGACUGAGAUACGGCCCAGACGCCUACGGGAGGCAGCAGUGGGGAAUAUUGCACAAUGGGCGGAAGCCUGAUGCAGCAGCGCCGCGUGCGGGAUGACGGCCUUCGGGUGGUAAACCGCUUUGGCUUGUGACGAAGCGUGAGUGACGGUAAUGGGUAGAGAAGCACCGGCUAGCUACGUC
rnacentral:rRNA from 1 species